CCUACGGGAGGCAGCAGUGGGGAAUCUUGCGCAAUGGGCGAAAGCCUGACGCAGCCAUGCCGCGUGAAUGAUGAAGGUCUUAGGAUUGUAAAAUUCUUUCACCGGGGACGAUAAUGACGGUACCCGGAGAAGAAGCCCCGGCUAACUUCGUGCCAGCAGCCGCGGUAAUACGAAGGGGGCUAGCGUUGCUCGGAAUUACUGGGCGUAAAGGGAGCGUAGGCGGAUAGUUUAGUCAGAGGUGAAAGCCCAGGGCUCAACCUUGGAAUUGCCUUUGAUACUGGCUAUCUUGAGUGUGGGAGAGGUUAGCGGAACUCCGAGUGUAGAGGUGAAAUUCGUAGAUAUUCGGAAGAACACCAGUGGCGAAGGCGGCUAACUGGCCCAUUACUGACGCUGAGGCUCGAAAGCGUGGGGAGCAAACAGGAUUAGAUACCCUGGUAGUCCACGCCGUAAACGAUGAGUGCUAGUUGUCGGCAUGCAUGCAUGUCGGUGACGCAGCUACGACAUAAGACACUCCGCCGUCGGGGAGGUACGGUCGGCGAAGAAGUUAAACGUAACUAAAGUAAGUUAAGUUAGUACGUUGUUAGAGCGCGACGACGACGACGACGGAGGAGGAGG
rnacentral:rRNA from 1 species